rnacentral:sRNA from 1 species
GCCAGGUGCAGUGGUGCAAGCCUGUAAUCCCAGCAGCUCAGGAGGCUGAGACAGGAGGAUCGCAAUUUCAAAGCCAGCCUCAGCAAAAGUGAGGCGCUAAGCAACUCAGUGAGACCCUGUCUCUA